rnacentral:rRNA from 1 species
AUGAGCACCCAUACCACCUGACAUUUGGACUAAGUAAUCCAUUUGAAGUGAAGCAGGUUUGGGCCUGGCCAGGAUUUGGAUGGGAGACCAACCAGGAAAACUGUGUUGGUGUGGGCA